rnacentral:lncRNA from 10 species
CACAGAUGCUGUUUCCUUUGCCCAGCACACCUGUCACUCACCUCAACCCUUUCUCUCUUUUCCCCAUCUUUCUGUGGCUAGCUCCUCCUCAUUCUUUAGGUCUCAGUGUAGAUAGCACCACUAUCAGGAAGGAGUCCAGACACUGCCAGGCCUAAGAAAUGUAAAUUAAAUGCUCUCAAGGGAUGAGAGACACUGGAAGCUGGGACGCUCUUGGAACUCUGUUGCCAUCAUCAAGGUCAGCAGUCCAACUACCAGGGCCAGAGCCCCAUCAAAGAAUCUUCAGUGCCAGCCAGAAAGAAUGAUGAACUCCUCGUGUAAAGGGAGUUUGGGGCAACCAGUCAAACCAUGGCCUCAUGGGAAGCAGCUGACUAGGCAAUGAGAGAGGAAUACAAAAGACAAGGCACUGCGAAGCCAAGUCUGGUUGGGGAGAAGAAACCAAUAUGCCUGAAACAGGGAACCAGAAAGGACUCAGACAAAACUGCUGACAAGUAUGGGGUUUCUUGGGGUAGGUGGUGAAAAUAUUCCAAAAUAAGAUUAUAGCGAUGUUUUAAUAAUCCCCUGGAUAUAAUAAAAAAACAUCGAAUUGUAC